rnacentral:rRNA from 1 species
GACGAACGCUGGCGGCGCGCCUAACACAUGCAAGUCGAACGGGAUCUAUUAGGAGCUUGCUCCUGGCAGAUCUAGUGGCGGACGGGUGAGUAACACGUAUCCAACCUGGCCUUUACUCAGGGAUAGCCUUUCGAAAGAAAGAUUAAUACUUGAUAGCAUAAAUUGACCGCAUGGUUGAUUUAUUAAAGAUUUAUUGGUAAAGGAUGGGGAUGCGUUCCAUUAGCUUGUUGGUAAGGUAACGGCUUACCAAGGCAUCGAUGGAUAGAGGUUCUGAGAGGAAGGUCCCCCACACUGGAACUGAGACACGGUCCAGACUCCCACGGGAGGCAGCAGUGAGGAAUAUUGGUCAAUGGGCGGAAGCCUGAACCAGCCAAGUAGCGUGAAGGAUGACUGCCCUAUGGGUUGUAAACUUCUUUUAUAAGGGAAUAAAACGUCUUACGUGUAAGAUUUUGUAUGUACCUUGUGAAUAAGCAUCGGCUAACUCCGUGCCAGCCGCCGCAGUAACAC